AGCCAUAAAGAGAGAGGGGUCGUACCUGAGAGAUCUUGAGAGAGAGGGAGAGAUUACGGUCCGACGGACUUCAAAGAGAGAUGGUGGUAGAGGUGGAGGCGAAGUGACGACGAUGGUGGUGGAGUCAGAGCGACGACAACAAUGGUGGCCCUAGGGAAAGCAAACAACUGUAAAAGAGGGAGAGAGAGAGUAAGGGGAG
rnacentral:lncRNA from 1 species